UGGACCUUUGAUAUCAAUUAAUUAAAAACCAAAAACUCAUCGACAGUCCAGGACUCUGCGUUUCCAGAUCAGAGGAUCAAACCACAAGUCUUUGUCCCAUCAGUUGAUCAGCUGAUCAACCUGCAGAUUGAUCACAGCAGGUCAAAACUCCAGGACUCAGGUAGAUCAUUCAAGGAUUAAAUGGGAUAAAAAUGAUUUUAAAUAAACAUCUGAACAGAUUUUACUACAAAACUGAACCUAAUCCAACUUAAAAUUAAUCAAACUUCACCAAAUGUUCCACAUUUAUUAUUAUUUUCUUUUAGUUUCUACAAGAGAAGAAUCUGGAGGAAGACGAGACGUCAACUCCGCCCCCUGCUGGUGCUUCUAGAGAACUACACAUGUAAAACCAACGUCUCAUCUGGUCCAUAAGGUUUCUGGUCCGAUCAAAACAGGCGAUGAAGAGGAGCAGGCGAUGAAGAGGAGCAGAUGAUGAAGAGGAGCAGAUGAUGAAGAGGAGCAGCUUCAGGUGGAAACAUCUCAGAUUUAUUGGAAACAUCAAUAAAAACAAACAUGGAGGCUCAAGAGAAACAGACUGGAGGGAAAAAGAUCU